rnacentral:rRNA from 1 species
UACGGAGGGUGCUAGCGUUGUUCGGAAUCACUGGGCGUAAAGGGCGUGUAGGCGGUCUGUUAAGUCUGAUGUGAAAUCCCCCUCGCUCAACGAGGGAACUGCGUCGGAUACUGGCAGACUCGAGUACCGGAGAGGAAGGUGGAAUUCCCGGUGUAGCGGUGAAAUGCGCAGAUAUCAGGAGGAACACCGAUGGCGAAGGCAGGUCUCUGGGCAUUAACUGACGCUGAGGAGCGAAAAGCAUGGGGGAGCGAACAGG